AGUCUUUUGAAUUGUUAUAAAAGAUGGUUUCUGCUCAGUGUUUUAAUAAACAGCCGCGGUAAUUUGACCGUGCAAAGGUAGCAUAAUUAUUUGCCCUAUAAUUGAGGGCUAGAAUGAAUGGGAGAACAAAAUGUCUGCUUUAUUUUCAAGAAAAAAAGAACUUUCUUUUUUAGUGAAGAAGCUAAAAUUGUUGUGAGGGACAAGAAGACCCUUUUGAGCUUUAGUAAUAAUAUUUUUUUUAAGUUUUAUUAUUUUGGUUGGGGCGACCAAGGAAGAAAAGAUCUUCUUUUUAGAACGUUGAUCCGAAGAUUUCGAUAAAUGAAUUAAGCUACCAAAGGGAUAACAGCGUAAUUUUUUUUGUGAGUUCUUAUUUAAAAAAAAGAUUGCGACCUCGAUGUUGACUUAUAAUUUCCUGUUGGUGUAGAAGCUGUUAGGGUGGGUCUGUCCGACCUUUAAAACCUU
rnacentral:rRNA from 3 species